UGUCACCGUUUGUACAGACAUUGAACUGUUACCAGAUAUUCGUCUCAGUAAAUUAGAGAAUCAAGAGAUACAUGUACAGAUUCAGUGUUUCAAACGACGAUGUCUACGAGUGCUGAUACAUGCUGUUUAUUUCUGAUUCAGAACGAGGCUCACGUUUAAAAAUCUUCUAUUAUAAAAUCAAGACGUCUGUAAGUAAAGUAUUUAUACGAGUUAGCUUUUUUUUUAAACCAAGCGUUUAUCAGUGAUUCCUUAUUGAAGUUAUGAAAUUCAACCUUUUUAUUUAAUUGUGGAUAAGUCGAAACUCUCCCGACUGUUUAUAAUAAGCUAACAUUUGCUACUAACUAAAGGAGCACUCAACCUUAACUGCUUCGGUUGUUAGUUGUAAGAUCAAUUUAAGCACCGAUACAUGGGGAAAAUCGUCAUCAGGCUUGCAAAAGACACGAACUUUGGGAGGUAAAAUACCUAACACGAUUGUCAAAAUAAAAGGUGCACACAUUUUACAUGUUUUUCAAAUCUGAAAAUUUGGAUUAAAUGACUGUCUCAUUUUGUUUAAAGCACUCAAUAGAGAAUAGAAAAAUAAAUAAAUGUAUUGGUACUAAGCGCUGUUAAUCAGAAUGGGCUAAUUAAAAAUAUUUAAAACCCAAGCGUAAAUACAAAAAGACCCGGUUUUUACACACAUACGUCUUGACAAUAGAUAAUAAUUACUUUUUCAAAAUAGCUCAAUACAAUUAUACUGCUAUGUCUAACUUCCCGACUUCUUCAGUUUGGUGACUGCGGUUUGGAAAUAAAAAACAUAAAUCAUACUUCAUGGAUGGACAGUUGUCUCAUUGGCACUCAUAUCACAUCUUCCCAUACCGAUAUUCAAUCUUUUUUUCUCUCGAAAAAAACUUUCAAAAUCAUUCUUUUAAGUAUUUUAACGUGGUUUUAUUCAUUUCCCGUAUAAUAGAGACUUUUAAUGCAUAGUUCCAUAAAACAUUUACCUAAACUUCAAAAAAUUCUUUAAAAAUGAAUAAAGAAAAAAACUUAUAAUUUCUUGGAAUGUUGACAAAAUGCUAUAAAAAAUCAGAAAUGUGAUUUGAUUGUCAACGAGUCAAAUAUCUAAAUGAAGCAGAAUUAAGCUACAUAAUCGAUUUCAAAAUACAAAAACGAGGUUCUAUGUGCUUCUGUAUUUUGUUUCAAGCAGAAAAUUUAUUUUCAAACUCCUAAAGGACCCAUAAUAUAAUUUAUUUGCAAUUCAUUUUUCAUUGACAUUUAAAAUCUUAACACUAUAUUAUAAAAAAAAGGUGUGGUAUGAUUACCGAUGAGACAACUCUCAACAAGAGACCAAAUGACACGUAAAUUAACAAUAAAAGGUCACCGUUCAGUCUUCAACAAUGAGCAAAGCCCCUACCGCAUAGUCAGCUAUAAAAGACCCCGAAAUGACAAUGUAAAACAAUUCAAACGAGAAAACUAACAGCCUUAUUUAUGUAAAAGUAAUUAAUCGAUGUUCUAUGAUUCUAAGUUAUCGAAUAGAAUUUUGAUGAAUGUUAUGCCAACAUGCGAGAUAUAUCUCUGUUAAAUCUUAAUAGCUAUUUCUUUGGCUGAAGUUUCAUCACUUUUUUUUUAUCUAGGUAACCUCCAAAAGUAGAAUGAAACUUGGCAAGAACUCUGGUAAUCCGUUCAAAUCCCAUUGUAAAUUACUUUCAGAGGUGGACCACAUGGACCCUGGAAGUCAGUGGCAUCAUAGUUUAUAAUGGCAAGUGAUCUCCUGAAUUUGGGCAGUGUUCAAAUAUGAAAGACAAGCAUAGACACUUUGAUGAUAUUUACCAAGACAAGUCAUCCUAGUACAUAGUGGUACGUAAACGUAAGUCUUGCGAUCUAUGAAUUAGUAGAUGUGGUAUAAUUGACAAUGAAAAAAAUGUCUGUUAAAAAACAAUACAGAUUAAGAUAUGGUACUACAAAAACUGCAACACAAGGUUUCAGAGAAAUGAAAUGAAAUUAGUUUUGAUUCUUGAAAACUUAAAUGCAUAAUCUAUACAUAUUUCGAGUUGUAUUAACCAUUCAUACAUUAAUAUUACUAUAUAAAAUUGAAAAUAAGGAAUGAGACAAAGAGACAACAACCCGACCAAAGAGCAAAAAACAAUUAAGGCCACAAAUGAGUCUUCCUCACAGUGAGAAAAUCACGCACUCGAAUGUUGCAACAUGCAAAAUUAAACAAAAAUAUAUCAAGCAAUAAAAAUAGGUCACAGUGAUCAUAUUCUUCCUCAAAGCAUUACUAUUAUCUAAGCUAUAUCGUUUCCCGAAGUUUAAUGGGUAUGUCAGUAUUACGGUUUCAACAAAAUUAACCAUAAUGUAAAACUUAACUUAGUCUCACAAGGUUGAAAUGAAAUGUAUGCCAAAUUUAUCAUCCUAUGUCCUAUAGUUGCCUAUUAUUCCAACUGAUAUCUAUUUGCUUAUAAAGGUUUUUUUAACAUGCCUUUAUUUUCUGUAAAUUAACGCAAAACUUCCCCGAAAUCAAGACAGAGGUAAAAGUGUUACAUUCGUCUCGUACAUGAUUGUCUUUCAACCCUGUCAAAAAUAUUAAUUUACCUUAAAUGACGCAUACAACUUACAGUGGAGAUCACUUCUAACCUCUCAUUAGAACUGUCAGAAUAUUCUGUCAUAGAACUGUUCUAACCUGUCCUAGAACAGUUCUAGCUAGAACAGUUUUACCCUAGAACUGUUCUAGGUAGAACUGUCAGGAUCAGUUCUAGGUAGAACUGACUAAAUCAGUUCUAGGUAGAACUGUCAGGAUCUGUUCUAGGGUAGAACUGUCUAAAACUGUUCUAGGUAGAACUGACCAAAUCAGUUCUAACCGUAGAACUGUCAGCAGAACUGACUAAAUCAGUCAGGACUGUAGAACAGUUCUAAAUGAAGUCACUGCAGAAAGGGCAAUUUAGAAUUUAGAAGAAAAAAUCAGUUCCAAUUACUUUACUAUAUAUAAUAGCAGAUGUUUCUUUAUUUUUUACUGAUCAAAAGUUACAUGUACAAAUAUCGAAGUGGAUAGGAGGUUAUCCAACUCAUCGGAGAAAUAUUUUUAUGAGAUUGCAAAUGAAACAUCAUUGUUUACGUUUCUUCGUUCCCCGUUUUUAACAGUCUCUUCGUAAAUAUAACUCUGCAUUUAAUUCAAGUAAAUUUAAUCUUAAUUUACCUUGUUUGCCUUGGAUUUACGUUCAUGAUUUAAGAUUCUGUUUUGACAAAUGUUCAAACGAAAAUUGUACAGUGGAUGAAUUAUGGGAUAUCAUAGUAAUGAACACAGUGUUGAACACAGUGUUGUUAAACGCAAGAAAACUAUGUACAUUUGCACUGAGGUCUCAGAUUUGCAUUAUCUCGUUGCCAAACUUAUCCAUAACGAUAAUGAAUAAUAUCUGGGAGUCUGGAAAAUAUACUCGAUCUGAACAUGAAUGAAAUAUUUGCCACUGGAUGUAAGGCUACAAACAAAACCAAUCAUUUUCCUUCUUCAAAUUUAUAUAUUAACAGUAUAGUCGGUAUACCUUUCCAAGAAGAGAAUUUCUCAUACAUGUACUUUUCAUUUUAAAAUAAAGUAUAUGAAUCUGUGAUGUGAGUGUUGGAUGAUGCCAUUAAAUAGUUUUAUUUAAAAAAAACCAUCAUGAACUACUGACUUAAAAAGUCACUUUUGUGACGGUUCAUUAUUUAAUAUUAAGUUUGGAUGUGACGGGUCUUCUGUCGUUAUCGUGUUAUCAGCGCCCAUAGACAUAAGUUAGUCAUGUGACCGUAAUGUCAUGGUUUGGCAAGGUUUAAAAUGGAAUUUAGAAUUAAAUUAUAAGAAAUGACUUAUCAUUUUUUUCUGUCUAUUCGAAAUAACAUAAAAAAUGUGAUGCACACUAUUAAAAAACCUGCUUCGCGCAUUUUUACAUUAAAAAAGCAAAAAUGGUCAGUUUUGAUUGAUGCAGACACAUAUUUUUGUUACAUGAGUCAGUCUUAGGUAUGAAAACUACUGAUGUUUGUUCAAUUUCCAAUAUUGCAGUUAUUUAUAUAUACUACAGUAAAAAAAAAUAUAACAGUUACUGAAGUACUGUGCAACUAUAUAGACUCACAUAAAAAAAGCAAAUAUGGUCAGUUUUGGUUGAUGCGGUCAAAAGAUUUUAUUAUACAACUCAGUCUGAAGUAUGAAAACUACUGAUAUUUGUUUAUGAUUCAAUACUUUUAAUAAAAAGAGGAUAUACUGGCACUAUAAAUUCAUGCAAACAAAAUUUUGAGGUCAUUGUUUUCCAAUAUUGCUGUAACUUGUAUAUUACAGUCUCUCUUGACUUAAAAUUAUAACUGAAUUGCUGUACAGCUAUAUAGAUUUGCAGAACGAAAGAGCAAAUAAGGUCAGUUUAGAUUGAUGCGGUCAAAAGAUUUUAUUACACCACUCAGUCUGAAGUAUGAAACUACUGAUAUUUGUUUACGAUUCAAUACUUUGAAUAAAAGAGGACAUGCUGGCACUAUAAAUUCAUGCGUACAAAUUUUGAGGUCAUUGUUUCCAAUAUUGCUGUAAGUUGUAUAUUACAGUCCCUUGACUAAAAUUAUAACUGAAUUACUGUACAGCACCUUUUUAUGGACGAUCAAUUCUUGAAUGAGGACAAUAAUUUUAGUUGGACCCCCCUUUUUUUUAAACUGCUGGAUCCGUCCCUGGUGGUUUGGGCCGGAAUAACGUAUUACAUUAAGGUCAGAUAAUUUUGUUACGCAAAACGAGUCAUCCUGACUCCCCGAAUGACAAAUGUAAAAUAAAUGAAAUAAUAAUGCCCCCCCCGUCCCCCAAAUAUUAAAUGUUCAAAAAAUGAAAGAAAAACAAAUAAUUUAUGUAACACAUCAACAAAAGAAAAUCACUGAAUAACAGGCUCCUGACUUGGAACAGUCACAUACAUGCAGAAUAUGGCGGGGUUAAGACUGGCCAAAAUUAUAGCAAAACUCUUUAUAAUAUUAAUCGCUCUUUUGCCGAAGCCUUUAUAUUUAGACAAAGAGUUCUUAAAUUUAACCAAAUCAAUUCUAGCCGUAGAAUUUAUAAAUUAAUUCUAGCCGUAGAAUUUAUAAAUCAAUUCUGGCCGUAGAAUUUGUAAUCAAUUCUAACCGCAGAACUGUUCUAGAAGUAGAACUGACCAAAGAUUUGGUCAGUUCUCGGUAGAACUGUCUAAAACUGUUCUAGGGUUGAACUGUCCAAAUCAGUUCUAGCUAGAACAGUUCUAACCUAGAACUGACUAAAAGGUGUCAGGCUGACAGUUCUACGUACUGUCCUGGAACAGUUCUCCUGACAGAUUCUGACAGAUUUAAUGAGAGGUUAGAAGUGAUCUCCACUGUAUGUUAACGUUUCAGUUCUAUCAGACUUUUCCUGAAUUUUAUUGUAAAGUACUUUGCAUGUGAGCAGUAUACAAUAUUUUGUCCAGUUCAGUGUUUUAGAUAACUAUGAUUAUGAUUGAAUAUUGUUGUUUGAUGUACGUCCAGUGGCAAAUAUUUCACACCUAUAAAGGAUGAAACUAUGAUAAUAACAUUUGUACGAAAUGAUAUUGGAAAGGUGUUGCUAUAAAAGACGUGAAAAUACAGUCAGUAUUUUGAUCUUUUACUUAUUCUAAUAUAUGUGUAUUGUCUUUCAUUUUCUUAAUCAUAUUUUUUCUAUGUAGGUCACUUGGUCAGAUGUCGAGAUAUUUGCCUGAUCAUUGCAGCUGAAAAUUGUAAUCCAAUGUGAAUUGAACAAAGAAGAUGGAGGACAGGCUGUCAGUUUUGACUUAUUUUUACCUUCCUUAAAAUUU
rnacentral:lncRNA from 1 species